GACGAGGGAUCCUAGCGUUGUUCGGAAUCAUUGGGCGUAAAGCGGGUGCAGGUGGCUUUGUAAGUCAGGUGUGAAAGCCUGGGGCUUAACCCCAGAAGUGCAUUUGAUACUGCAAAGCUUGAGUGCUAGAGAGGAUAGUAGAAUUCUUGGUGUAGUGGUGAAAUACGUAGAUAUCAAGAGGAAUACCGGCGGCGAAGGCGGCUAUCUGGCUAGACACUGACACUCAGACCCGAAAGCGUGGGGAUCAAACAGG
rnacentral:rRNA from 1 species